rnacentral:rRNA from 1 species
GGGUAUGCGGGCGCGAAUUCGCCCUUACUCCUACGGAGGCAGCAGUAGGGAAUAUUGCACAAUGGGCGAAAGCCUGAUGCAGCAACGCCGCGUGCGCGAAGAAGGCCUUCGGGUUGUAAAGCGCUUUUCUGGAGGAAGAGAAAGGACGGUACUCCAGGAAUAAGGGUCGGCUAACUACGUGCCAGCAGCCGCGGUAACACGUAGGAUCCGAGCGUUAUCCGAAUUUACUGGGCGUAAAGCGCGUGUAGGCGGCCGGGUAAGUUGGACGUGAAAUCUCCUGGCUCAACUAGGAGAGGUCGUUCAAAACUGCCUGGCUAGAGGGCGACAGAGGGAGGUGGAAUUCCCGGUGUAGUGGUGAAAUGCGUAGAUAUCGGGAGGAACACCAGUGGCGAAGGCGGCCUCCUGGGUCGCCCCUGACGCUCAGACGCGAAAGCUAGGGGAGCAAACGGGAUUAGAUACCCCGGUAGUCCUAGCUGUAAACGAUGUGGACUUGGCGUUGGUGGGGUCAAAUCCAUCAGUGCCGAAGCUAACGCGAUAAGUCCACCGCCUGGGGACUACGACCGCAAGGUUA